CAGGGAGCAGAGGCCCGGGCCUGGGGAGGACGGGAGAGAGUGGGGGACUCCUGGCGGCCGUCGCUCCUCCCGGUGAGAAACACGCCGCGGGCCCGGCCGGCGUGGGUCAGCGGCAUAAGGCUCACCGUCUGGCCCACACUGAUGAGUACACAGCUGGUUACUGCGGUCCAUGUAACCCCAGGACAAGCUUCAGUUGUGGUCUCCUGCCCGAUAGAGGAGUCAAGGGCUUGUCGCUUGACUGCUCUGCUGUGUGAGCCAGAACCAACCGCGGCUGCCUGCCUGUCUGUUUUCAUCGUCUGUCCUUCAGUGUGCAUCCCGGUGGCCUUUGCCGGAGCCCAGGACCCACUAGGAAUCGUUUCUUCUAGACAGCCGGCUGCCUGUGAAUGAAGCUAGUCGCACACCCAGGAUCUUCUUUUGUGAGUAUUUUUUAAAAUUUACUUUUAGCGAGAGGGAAACUUCGAUCUGCUGGGACACUUACCGACGCCCUCACAGGCUGGCUCUUGCGUGGGCCCUGACGGGGGAUCGAACCGGCCACCGUGGGGGGUCAGGU